rnacentral:rRNA from 1 species
CAGCAGCCACGGUAAUACGAAGGGUGCAAGCGUUAAUCGGAAUUACUGGGCGUAAAGCGUGCGUAGGCGGUUUGUUAAGUCUGCUGUGAAAUCCCCGGGCUCAACCUGGGAAUGGCAGUGGAUACUGGCAAGCUAGAGUGUGUCAGAGGAUGGUGGAACUCCCGGUGUAGCGGUGAAAUGCGUAGAGAUCGGGAGGAACAUCAGUGGCGAAGGCGGCCAUCUGGGACAACACUGACGCUGAGGCACGAAAGCGUGGGGAGCAAACAGGAUUAGAUACCCGAGUAGUCCCUGUCUCUUAUCC